UACGAAGGGGGCUAGCGUUGCUCGGAAUUACUGGGCGUAAAGCGCACGUAGGCGGCUUUCUAAGUCGGGGGUGAAAUCCUGGAGCUCAACUCCAGAACUGCCUUCGAUACUGGAAAGCUCGAGUCCGGGAGAGGUGAGUGGAACUGCGAGUGUAGAGGUGAAAUUCGUAGAUAUUCGCAAGAACACCAGUGGCGAAAGGCGGCUCAC
rnacentral:rRNA from 1 species